UACGGAGGUUGCGAGCGUUGUUCGGAAUAACUGGGCGUAAAGGGAGCGCAGGCGGUUCGGCAAGUCUAAAGUGAAAGCCCGGGGCUUAACCUCGGAAGUGCUUUGGAUACUACCGAACUCGAGUUCGUGAGAGGAAAGCGGAAUUCCAGGUGUAGCGGUGAAAUGCGUAGAUAUCUGGAGGAACACCGGUGGCGAAAGCGGCUUUCUGGCACGAUACUGACGCUGAGGCUCGAAAGCAUGGGGAGCGAACAGG
rnacentral:rRNA from 1 species